CCCUUAGAUGUUCUGGGCCGCACGCGCGCUACACUGACGAUGGCACCGAGUUUUUCCUUCGCCGAAAGGUGUGGGUAAUCUUUUGAAACAUCGUCGUGCUGGGGAUAGAUCAUUGCAAUUUUUGAUCUUGAACGAGGAAUUCCUAGUAAGCGCGAGUCAUCAGCUCGCGUUGAUUACGUCCCUGCCCUUUGUACACACCGCCCGUCGCUACUACCGAUUGAAUGGUUUAGUGAGGACUCCUGAUUGGCGCCGCCGCCCCGGCAACGGAGCAGCGGACUGCCGAAAAGUUGUUCAAACUUGAUCAUUUAGAGGAAGUAAAAGUCGUAACA
rnacentral:rRNA from 1 species